rfam:Bacillus sp. HMSC76G11 genomic scaffold Scaffold129, whole genome shotgun sequence.
UGGUGAAGCUUCCUCCACCAUUAUCAAGGGAGGCACUCGGCUGCAUUGUGGGUGAGAUACCUUAGACGCCUGUCGUCAAAGGUGUGGUGUGAGGGUGGGUUAGAUGCCCA